CAGAAGAUAGAUGAUUAUAUAUAUAUAUAUAUAUAUAUAUAUAUAUAUAUAUAUAUAUAUUAACUAUUGCAUGUAGAGAGACCUAUUACGAAACUUAGUUAAACUACUACUAGGCAGACCAACACUAGUACUACUACUGUCGUUAUCCUGCAACAUAGUAUUUACAUAGUUACUACUAGUAGCGUCUACCACUGGCUGAUUUAUAGUAACAUCCGAAAUAUGGUUCCUGUCAGUUUCCAGUGUUUGAGCUACAAAAAGAGGAGCCACAUUGUAAACAUAAGGUAUUAGUCGUAUAAACAAAAAGUUUGGUUGUCUUUGCUAGUUGAUCCGCUAUCAUAUUCUGUUCUCUGUAUGCACGUCGUACUUGCAGAUUCUCAAGCCGGUGGAGGAGAUACCUGCAAUCAGUUAUAAAAUUGGAGUAGGGAUGAUUAUCAGUUUGUAAUACAAUAAUUAUUUGAUUAGCAUCCAGCUCUUCUUCUAUAGGCGUCAGAAUAUAUUUCAAGACUAAUUUGAAGCCUACGAUCAAAGCAUAUAUUUCAGUUGAUAAUGCAGAUGCUUUAUGUAUGCCUUGUGCAAAACCAAGUAUCCAUGACCCUUUUGAAUCCCGAAUUGCUCCCCCAUUACCAUUUAUAUCGAUACCAGUGCCAUAUUUAACUUGUAGGAAUUUUGUGCAUGUGGUUGCCAGCCAAGAUUUAAGGGACGUCUUUUCCUAGGCUUAUGAAAAUGAGCUGUGAGAUAAGAAAACUCAGUGGCUUGCAGAGUUGUUAUAGAAAUAUUAACUUUCUCUUUUAAGCAGUUGAAAUUAUUAUUGUUGCGAGUUACCCAAAUAUUCCAUAAGCAUACAUGGAGGAAACUGUUCGGGCUAAUUUAUGAGGUAGAUUAUAAUUAUUAGAAUUUAUUAAAGCAUAUAACCAAUUUGUAGUACCUUGAAUGGUAUGUAUAUGUCUUAUAAGAUUUGCAAGACCUAACUCCUCCCAGAAAACAGUAACGUUUUUACAUUCAAGGAAAACGUGACGAAUAUUUUCUUCUGUAUCUUGGCAGUACGCACAUGUGUUGCUUUGUAUAAGUCCUAUACGGUUAAGAUAUACUUUAGUGGGUAGUCGAUCGUGACAUAACAGCCAAAUGAAUAUUUUAAUUUUAGAUAAGAUUGGAAGCUUCCAUAUCCAUUUGAAGUUAAUAAGUUGUGUAGGUGAAUUUGUGGAUUUUUCAAGUAAGCUAUGAUAGCAUGAUUUUGUUGUAAAAGAACCAACUUGUGUUAAGCCCCAGUAGGGAGUGUCAAGAGUAUUUCUGAAGUGAGAAAUAAAAACAUUGUGUAUUGAUUGCAUGAUAUCUUUAGGUAACUCAAACGGUAUUUUUUUUCCAAUCCCAAUCGGCAUAAUUGAGGAAUGACGAAACUUUAAUAUUAUUCUGGUUUCUUGGAAGAGGUCCUUGUAUUAGUGAACGAAUUGAUUUACCAGGUUGUAACCAGGGAUCAUCCAGAAGCUAAUAUGUUGGCAUGUUCCAAUUCUCCAUUGUAAGCAUUUUUGGCACUUGUUCCAGCCUUGCAGUAAAUUGGAUCAAAUGCGGGAGUAUUUGUAACCCUUAUUACUAUUCAAAUAUUUAAUAAGGAGAAUCUGAGCCCACAUGGUGUUAGGAGAUUUAAAAGCUCUCCAAGCCAAAUUUGCUAGGAGCGCUGAAUUUUCAACGUCAAGUUUUUGUAUGCCAGACCUCCUGCUUCUUUAGGCGUAGUAACGGUGUUCCAUUUUAGGAGGUGAAUUUUCUUCUUUCUAGUAGUAAUACCCCAAAGGAAGUUACGCCGGUAUUGAUUCAAUUUGGUCAGAAUUGCCGGUGGAAUGCUAAUAUAUUGCAUAAUAUGAUUAGGUAAGAUGUUUAAGGUUGAUUUAAUUAGCGUAGCUCUGCCCGCAAGUGUGAGAAACUUAGUUUUCCAACCAACAAGUCUAUUUUUAAAGUUAUCAAGAAGAAAUUGGAAGUCUUGUUUUUUGAAAUUCCUUGAAACAUAGGAAAACCUAAAUAUUUUCCAAAGGAGCCGCCUUCUUUAAUAUUAAAGGAGUUUGUAUCAAACUGCUUAUCUUCCUGCUUACAAUUUUUUGAGAAAUAAAUCUUUGAUUCUCAAAAUUAAUUUGUUGUCUGAUUGGAACAUAAAGUCAGUUAGCACAUCCACAAUGGCAUGGCAACUUUUCGUAGUUACUUUAGAGAACAAAAUAAUGCCAUCCGCAAAGAAUAAAGGUGAAAGUGAUGGUCCAUCGGUGGAGAUCUUAAUAGGUUUCCAUUUUAAAUAUUACACAUCUUAUGGGAUAACAUUUCCAUGAACAUUAUAAACAAGUAGGGAGAUAAAGGAUCCCCUCGCCUGAUUCCUUUAGUUGGUGAAAAAUAUUGAGUCCUGGUUCCAUUAUUUAUGAUUGAGAUAGAACUUGUAGUAAUACAAGACAUAAUUAAAGAGAUCAUUGAUUGUGUAAUAUUAAAGUAAUGUAGGGUUUUUUUUUUAAUAAAAGAUCAUUCUAGACGAUUAAAGGCUUUUUCUAAAUCCAAUUUAAGGAUCAUGGCUGAUGAUUUACAUUUCAUUUUUGCAAGAUAAUUAAGGGCCUCUUGAACAAUUAUGGCAUUAUGAGAAGCCAUUUUACCUUGCUGGAAACUAGUUUGUGUAGGUCCUAUUAUUUUAUUAACAAUAGGUUUCAGUCGAGUAAAAAUUAGUUUUGUAAUGAGCUUAUACAAAGUAUUACAAAGACUAAUGGGACGAAAUUGUGUUACAGUAGAAGGAUGUUUUGAUUUUGGUAUUAGACAAACUAACGUUUUAUUUAAUUCCUCAGGGAUACUCUUAGCACAUAAAAUAUCUUUACAAAACCUAAUAACCUUGUUUCUUACUGCUGGCCAGUAUUUUUGGAAAAAAUAGGGGUGUAAUCCAUCUGGACUAGGAGCCUUGUAAGGUUUAAAAUCAAACAUGGCAUUUUUAAUUUCAUCAUGAGUAAAUGGCGCUGUGAUAGUUUUGAUAUCAUUAUUACAAGGGUUCCAAGUGCUAGGGCUCCAAUAAGCAUUAGGAGUGUGUGAUUCUUGAGUAGUAAACAAAGAUUGGUAAUAAUGAAGAAAUAAGUUAUGCAACUAAGUUGGUUCAUCAACCCAAUUUCCAACUGUGUCCUUCAAAGCAGUUAUCUUAUUCUACGUCUUCUAUGUAGUGGGGACAUAUGGAAAAACUUCGUAUUAGCAUCUCCAUCAUUGUUCCAAUUAAUACGAGUUUUUAAUUUCCAAAAUUCUUCUUCCACACAAAGUAGAUUACUAUAUUCUAGGUUAAGAUAUAUUUCUAGAUUUUGGAGGAAAAUACUGGUUGUAUAAUGAACUGAUUUUUGUAUCCCUCCCAGUCUUGCUAAAAGCUUUCGUUUUUCCUUGAAUAUAUUUCAAAAUGUUUGUUUAUUCCAUGUAGAUGCAACAACUUGAAAUUUAUGUAUAGUAGGAAGUAGUAAUUGAUCUUCUGACCUAAUGUUAUGAACUAGUUGUUGAAACUCUAGAUGUGAAGCCCACAUAGUUCAAAGCGGAAAGAUAUGUUGAUGUAUAAUUGUCGGUGGUUCUAAAGUAAUUAAAAGCGGACAGUGAUCAGAGUGAGUACAAAGUAGAUGACUAACUAAAGCGUGAGGAUAUAAAUUUAACCAGUCAUAAUUAGCCAAGAACCUAUCAAGUCUUUCUAGUAUUGUGUAGCCAUACCUACGUUUAUUUGUCCAAGUAUACCUACUACCCUGAAAACCCAAAUCAAUUAGUUUACAAGUAUUAAUAAUAUUAAAAACUUAUCAGCCCAUUUAUUAUUAAUAGGAAGUCCUCCAAAUUUUCUUUAGAGUCAAUAAUUUCAUUAAAGUCACCACCAAUUAACCAAGGCAUAGAAACAGUGUAUGCAUAUACAAUAAGUUAUUCCAUAAUACGUUACGCGAUUGAUAAUGGGAACUAGCAUAUAUUGCAGAUAAAAGCCAACAUGAUUUGUUAGGACUUACCUGGACCACAUAGUGAAUUUCUUGUUCUGAUAGCCUUAAUUCAGUCACAUUAAUACUAGACUCAUUCCACAACACCAUUAAGCCACCAAUGAGCCCAUUAGCUGGCACUUGCAACAUAUUAGUAAAAUUGAAAUCCUCACGUAGCCUGCUGCGAUCUUGCAUAUGAGUUUCCAACAUGAUGGCUAACGCUGGCCUAUGGUUGUCAACGAGUGAUCUAAAGUGCCUAUGAAACUCAAGGUUGUGCGUGUUGAAAAAUAAACUUGAUUUUGUGUUAUGUGUUUUGGAUUUGGGCUUGCAAGUAUCCAAGUAUAUUAGAUCAAGAUUUUAGUCCAUUAUCUAGAAACUUCUUGUAAUAUGUAGUAGUCAAAGUGUGUAGAAUAAUCUUGUAAAACAUCUAAGUCUAGAAUUAUCAUGAGAAUACAUAGGAAUUAUCUAGAUACGAGUAGAUGAUGAAGUGUUCUAGAUUAUUCCAUUGUGUAGUAUAAAUAGAGGUAUCACCCCUCAUUUGCAAUUAAGUAAUAAGCAAAGCAUUCAAGAUCAAUCAAGCUUCUAAAUCAUCAAUCCUCUCUUCCAUAAAUAAUAUAUAUAUUUGCCUCAAACUCCAUCAAUCCACUCUUCCACAAAUAAUAUAUAUAUAUAUAUAGAGCCUCAUAUUUCCAACAACUUGGUAUCAUAGCUUGGUUUGACAAGAUGAUGGCCAACAAUGUCAUCACGUUUCCUCGCCUCACAAAGUAUAAAUAUGAUCGAUGGAGCAUCCAAAUGAAGACCUUCCUAGGUGGACAAGACCUAUGGGAGAUUGUGNNN
rnacentral:lncRNA from 1 species